rnacentral:misc_RNA from 1 species
CUCAUACUAUGAAAAAUUACACUAAUGACUGCUGUGCUGUGCUGCGCUGCGCUGCCUGGUCAUUCAGCAACACUACUUUUCGCUUCUUUGCCACCCUCAUCAACCACUCGAGUAGUUUUUCACAACUUGCAUGUUUCAGAGACUGAACGGUAAUUGAAUGAGUUGGAUAUUUAAUUUAAACUAAUCAGAGCCCAAACUAGACGUCAGUGCUAACACCAGCAACAUAUUUUCAGUCGCUUUUGUAAUCCAGAAAAUUGAAUACAAUAUAAUGUUGAUCACCUUACUACUAAUAAGAAGUGCUUCAAAAUUAAUUGGAUAUGGCGCAGCCACCUGUUAAAAUCACACGUAGGAGCAUAGGCCACCCA